CAGCUUCCCAAGAUGUCCAUCCACAAAGAACGAAAAUUCACGGAACUAUGGCAUCACCUAACUCAUUUUCAGGUACAACUUCUCAUAGAACUGGUGCAAAAAUCCAUUCCUGACUUCAGUAGUGAACUGGAUGCAUGGAAUCCCCAGCAAGGUCCUGGCAGGACAGUUCAUACCUGAAGAAGUGAGACAGAGCACAGGAUUUCUGAAAGUGAAGGCGUGAGCAUGCAAGGGUCAUCUCCUCAGAGAAGACCGACUGCCCCUUCUGAAGGAGCCGCUUCUGUCAUGCUCAGUCUGCCUGCUUUACCCUCCUUGCUGCCAUUUACCACUGCUGGAGACAGCUACCUAUGCACGGUGACAGUCAGUCUCACUGCUAGCCUGU
rnacentral:lncRNA from 1 species